UAAGACGAACCGUGCGAACGUUAUUCGGAAUCACUGGGCUUAAAGGGCGCGUAGGCGGGCUAGCAAGUCAGGGGUGAAAUCCUUCGGCUCAACCGGAGAACUGCCUUUGAUACUGCUAGUCUCGAGGGAGGUAGGGGUCUGCGGAACUUCCGGUGGAGCGGUGAAAUGCGUUGAUAUCGGAAGGAACGCCGGUGGCGAAAGCGGCGGACUGGACCUCUUCUGACGCUGAGGCGCGAAAGCCAGGGGAGCAAACGGGAUUAGAUACCCCGGUAGUCCUGGCCCUAAACGAUGGGUACUAGGUUGUGGACUAGACAUGGGUUCACAGCCGAAGCAAAAGUGUUAAGUACCCCGCCUGGGGAGUAUGGUCGCAAGGCUG
rnacentral:rRNA from 1 species